CAUAAAACUGCAACUUCCACCCUCCACUACCUGCCUGGGCUGUUUCCCCUGGGUUCACUCUGCUAACUGGCUUUCAUAACCAGGAGUAACCCUCACCAAAGUUAUAUUCUGGUUUAGGGUUAAUUAUUCCCCUCUCAACUUCAGAAAAGUGCUCCGCGUGGACUCAUAAAACUGCAACUUCCACCCUCCACUACCUGCCUGGGCUGUUUCCCCUGGGUUCACUCUGCUAACUGGCUUUCAUAACCAGGAGUAACCCUCACCAAAGUUAUAUUCUGGUUUAGGGUUAAUUAUUCCCCUCUCAACUUCAGAAAAGUGCUCCGCGUGGACUCAUAAAACUGCAACUUCCACCCUCCACUACCUGCCUGGGCUGUUUCCCCUGGGUUCACUCUGCUAACUGGCUUUCAUAACCAGGAGUAACCCUCACCAAAGUUAUAUUCUGGUUUAGGGUUAAUUAUUCC